rnacentral:sRNA from 1 species
UAUAAUAUGAACAAUUAGCUGUUAUUUUUGUUUGACUUAAUCGAAAGCCAAGAUGUAGCCAUUAUAAAAUACACUAUAUUUCGUAUUACUAUAAAAAAGUUAAGUUGCAAAUUAGUCACUUUUUAAAACUUAAUUGGAAAAGUAGUCACUUUACUAUUCAUAAUUUGCAAAAUAGUUACUUUUCACUGUUUGAUUCGUACACUUAGAUUGUACACCACUUUUAGUGUACAAAUGUAUAUAAAAAAUACACAGCGUACACUUUACAUUUGUACACUAAAAGUGAUGUACAAUCCAAGUGUACGAAUCAAACAGUGAAAAGUGACUACUUUGCAAAUUAUGAAUAGUAAAAUGACUACUUUCCUAAUUAAGUUUGAAAAAAUGACUAUUUUGCCAAUACACCCUAA